rnacentral:rRNA from 1 species
UACGUAGGGCGCAAGCGUUGUCCGGAUUCACUGGGUGUAAAGGGUGCGUAGGCGGGAGAGUAAGUCCGCGGUGAAAUCUCACAGCUCAACUGUGAAACUGCCGUUGAUACUGCUUUUCUUGAGUUCGGGAGAGGUUGAUGGAAUUCCAGGUGUAGCGGUGAAAUGCGUAGAUAUCUGGAGGAACACCGGUGGCGAAGGCGGCAUCCUGGACCGGCAUUGACGCUGAGGCGCGAAAGCCAGGGGAGCAAACGGG